rnacentral:misc_RNA from 1 species
AAUUCUCAACUUUGGCUUGAAGUUGAAGUUUGGACUUUGGAGAGUGCCGGCUUUUGUCCUGUAAGCAGGCUCCUCUGAAAAGCAUUAGCAAAAUAGCUGAUCGGGCUUGACCACGCUUUGCGAGCAUUGAUAAAAUCCAACAUCACAUGCCGCUCGUUGAACGGGUCCUUUUCACAUUUGUUUUGCCAAAUUCUUAAAGAAACUUUUUGAAAC